CGGUGUUCAACUGGCGUGUCCGCGGGACGUCCUGCCGGUGGGCUUAGCCCGCAAGGGCGGCCCAACUUCAAAUCCCAUCGCGGUGCUCUUCACUGAGUGUCGAGGUGGGCCGGCACGUUUACUUUGAACAAAUUAGAGUGCUUAAAGCAGGCUAAAACUUCGCCUGAAUACUGUGUGCAUGGAAUGAUGGAAUAGGACCUCGGUUCUAUUUUGUUGGUUUUCGGAACCCCGAGGUAAUGAUUAAUAGGAACGGAUGGGGGCAUUCGUAUUGCGACGUUAGAGGUGAAAUUCUUGGAUCGUCGCAAGACGGACAGAAGCGAAAGCAUUUGCCAAAAACGCUUUCAUUGAUCAAGAACGAAAGUUAGAGGUUCGAAGGCGAUCAGAUACCGCCCUAGUUCUAACCAUAAACGAUGCCAGCUAGCGAUCCGUCGACGUUCCUCCGAUGACUCGACGGGCAGCUUCCGGGAAACCAAAGCUUUUGGGUUCCGGGGGAAGUAUGGUUGCAAAGCUGAAACUUAAAGGAAUUGACGGAAGGGCACCACCAGGAGUGGAGCCUGCGGCUUAAUUUGACUCAACACGGGAAACCUCACCAGGCCCGGACACCGGAAGGAUUGACAGAUUGAGAGCUCUUUCUUGAUUCGGUGGGUGGUGGUGCAUGGGCCGUUCUUAGUUGGUGGAGCGAUUUGUCUGGUUAAUUCCGAUAACGAACGAGACUCUAGCCUGCUAACUAGGCGUAUUUUCGACAUCUCAAAGGUCCGUCGUCCCGGCCCUCGGGUCGUGGGCGUGCGCGAUUUUUACUGUCGGCGUACUAUCAAUUCUUCUUAGAGGGACAGGUGGCUUCUAGCCGCACGAGAUUGAGCAAUAACAGGUCUGUGAUG
rnacentral:rRNA from 1 species